CGGUUUUAGUGGCGGACGGGUGAGUAACGCGUGGGUAACCUGCCUCACACAGGGGGAUAACAGCGAGAAAUUGCUGCUAAAACCGCAUAAGCGCACAGUAACGCAUGUUACGGUGUGAAAAACUCCGGUGGUGUGAGAUGGACCCGCGUCUGAUUAGCUUGUUGGUGAGGUAACGGCCCACCAAGGCGACGAUCAGUAGCCGACCUGAGAGGGUGACCGGCCACAUUGGGACUGAGACACGGCCCAAACUCCUACGGAAGGCAGCAG
rnacentral:rRNA from 1 species